rnacentral:rRNA from 1 species
UAAUACAUGCAAGUCGAGCGAAUCUUGAGGUGCUUGCACCUCUUGGUUAGCGGCGGACGGGUGAGUAACACGUGGGCAACCUGCCUGUAAGACUGGGAUAACUUCGGGAAACCGGAGCUAAUACCGGAUAAUCCUUUUCCUCUCAUGAGGAAAAGCUGAAAGUCGGUUUACGCUGACACUUACAGAUGGGCCCGCGGCGCAUUAGCUAGUUGGUGAGGUAACGGCUCACCAAGGCGACGAUGCGUAGCCGACCUGAGAGGGUGAUCGGCCACACUGGGACUGAGACACGGCCCAGACUCCUACGGGAGGCAGCAGUAGGGAAUCUUCCGCAAUGGACGAAAGUCUGACGGAGCAACGCCGCGUGAGCGAUGAAGGCCUUCGGGUCGUAAAGCUCUGUUGUUAGGGAAGAACAAGUAUCGGAGUAACUGCCGGUACCUUGACGGUACCUAACCAGAAAGCCACGGCUAACUACGUGCCAGCAGCCGCGGUAAUAC